AUUGUUCCUAAAAACCAUUCUGGUUUCUCUUUAAUUGAUUCCUGUUUUUUCUUACCUUACCUCCUAUCUAGGUUUAGAAGGGUAUGAGACUUCAGUGUUGUGGCACAUGAGGAGAUGAAAACAAGAAACCAGUUUAUUUGGUUACAACCCUGGAUAACACAAUGGAAGACCUGUUAACACUGGAAUAUGUAAAGGCUGAAAAGAAUGUACCCGACUUGAAAAAUACCUAUAACAAUGUUUUACAAUUGAUUAAGGUAAAUUUUUCCUCUUUGGAUAUUCAUUUACACACUGAAGCACUUCUGAAUACAAUAAAUUAUCUUCAUAAUAUCCUUCCACAAUCAGAGGAAAAAUCAGCCCCAGUGUCCACUACAGAGACUGAAGACAAAGGAGAUGUCAUUAAAAAAUUAGCUUUAAAACGAUCCACGAAUGAAGAUAUCAUUACUUUGCAGAUUUUAGCAGAAUUAUCGUGUUUACAGAUCUUUAUUCAAGAUCAGAAACGUAACAUUUCUGAAAUUAAGAUUGAAGGUAAUAAAAUUUCACAAAAAGCAAAUUAAAAGACGUUAAAUGAAAGAAAAGGCAGUCAUUCUUUUGUUCCCUUAGGGCUUGAUUCUGAGAUGAUUAUGAGGCCUUCAGAAACUGAAAUAAACGCAAAGCUAAGGAAUAUAAUUGUUUUAGAUUCUGAUAUAACAGCUAUAUACAAAAAGGCUGUUUAUAUCACUGGAAAAGAAGUUUUCAGCUUCAAAAUGGUUUCUUACAUGGAUGCAACUGCUGGUUCUGCAUACACAGAUAUAAAUGUGGUUGACAUUCAGGUUAAUUUAAUAGUUGGUUGCAUUGAAGUAGUUUUUGUCACAAAAUUUCUAUAUUCUAUAUUGGCUUUUAUAGAUAAUUUUCAGGCAGCUAAACAAGCCUUGGCUGAGGCAACUGUUCAGGCAGCUGGAAUGGCUGCUACUGGUGUAAAAGAACUUGCACAAAGGAGUUCCAGAAUGGCACUGGAUAUUAACAUCAAAGCCCCAGUUGUGGUCAUCCCGCAGUCUCCAGUUUCUGAAAAUGUUUUUGUUGCUGAUUUUGGACUAAUUACAAUGACAAAUACCUUUCAUAUGAUAACAGAGAGCCAGAGCUCUCCCCCACCUGUUAUUGAUUUGAUAACAAUAAAGCUGAGUGAAAUGCGACUAUACAGAUCUCAAUUUAUUAAUGAUGCAUACCAGGAAGUACUGGAUCUACUCCUGCCAUUAAAUCUUGAGGUGGUGGUUGAACGAAAUUUAUGCUGGGAGUGGUACCAGGAAGUUCCUUGUUUUAAUGUAAAUGCUCAGCUGAAACCAAUGGAGUUCAUUCUUAGUCAAGAAGAUAUAACAACUAUUUUUAAAACAUUGCAUGGCAAUAUAUGGUAUGAAAAAGAUAGUAGUGCCUCACCUGCUGUAACAAAAGACCAAUACAGUGCCGCUAGUGGAGUUACGACUAAUGCUUCACACCAUUCAGGAGGAACAACUGUGGUGACAGCUGCUGUGGUAGAAGUACAUUCACGUGCCUCAGGAGUUAAGACAACAUUAAACAUGAGCUUCAAAACUGAUGAUCUCACCAUGGUGCUGUAUAGUCCAGGUCCUAAACACGCUUCCUUUACAGAUGUUCGUGAUCCUUCUCUGAAACUUGCUGAAUUUAAAUUGGAGAAUAUUAUAAGUACUUUAAAAAUGUAUACAGACAGCUCAACAUUUUCUUCCUUCUCAUUAAAAAACUGUAUUUUAGAUGAUAAAAGACCUCAUGUCAAGAAAGCAACUCCUCGAAUGAUAGGACUGACAGUUGGUUUUGACAAAAAAGACAUGAUGGAUAUAAAAUACAGGAAAGUCAGAGAUAGUUGUGUGACUGAUGCAGUCUUUCAAGAAAUGUAUAUUUGUGCAAGCGUAGAAUUUCUGCAGACUGUUGCAAAUGUCUUUCUUGAGGCCUACACCACAGGCACUGCUGUAGAAACCAGUGUGCAAACAUGGACUGCUAAGGAAGAAGUACCUACACAGGAAUCAGUGAAGUGGGAAAUUAAUGUUAUUAUUAAAAAUCCUGAAAUUGUGUUUGUGGCUGACAUGACAAAAAAUGAUGCUCCUGCCUUAGUCAUUACAACACAAUGUGAAAUUUGCUAUAAAGGUAACCUUGAAAAUAGUACAAUGACUGCUGCCAUUAAAGAUCUCCAAGUGAGAGCCUGCCCGUUUCUUCUAGUCAAGAGAAAAGGCAAAAUCACUACUGUUUUGCAGCCCUGUGACUUGUUUUAUCAAACUACUCAGACAGGUACAGAUCCACAAGUGAUCGAUAUGUCAGUAAAAUCCCUGACACUAAAGGUUUCACCAGUUAUUAUAAAUACUAUGAUUACCAUAACUUCAGCACUGUAUACAACUAAGGAAACCAUCCCAGAAGAAACAGCUUCUUCUACUGCACAUUUAUGGGAGAAGAAGGAUACAAAGACUUUAAAAAUGUGGUUUCUUGAAGAAUCAAAUGAAACUGAAAAAAUAGCUCCCACAACUGAAUUGGUACCCAAAGGCGAGAUGAUAAAAAUGAACAUUGAUUCUAUUUUUAUAGUUCUUGAGGCUGGAAUUGGUCAUAGAACAGUACCUAUGCUUCUGGCAAAGUCACGUUUUUCAGGGGAAGGCAAAAACUGGAGUUCCCUAAUAAAUCUGCACUGUCAACUUGAGCUAGAAGUGCAUUAUUAUAAUGAAAUGUUCGGUGUAUGGGAGCCUUUGCUUGAACCCUUAGAAAUUGAUCAGACUGAGGAUUUUAGACCAUGGAAUCUUGGUAUC
rnacentral:sRNA from 1 species